rnacentral:rRNA from 1 species
GACGAACGCUGGCGGCGUGCUUAACACAUGCAAGUCGAACGGAAAGGCCCUGCUUUUGUGGGGUGCUCGAGUGGCGAACGGGUGAGUAACACGUGAGUAACCUGCCCUUGACUUUGGGAUAACUUCAGGAAACUGGGGCUAAUACCGGAUAGGAGCUCCUGCUGCAUGGUGGGGGUUGGAAAGUUUCGGCGGUUGGGGAUGGACUCGCGGCUUAUCAGCUUGUUGGUGGGGUAGUGGCUUACCAAGGCUUUGACGGGUAGCCGGCCUGAGUGGGUGACCGGCCACAUUGAGACUGAGAUACGGCCAGGACUCCUACGGGAGGCAGCAGUGGGGAAUAGUGCACUAUGGGCGGAAGCCUGAUGCAGCACCGCCGCGUGUGGGAUGACGGCCUUCGGGUUGUAAACCGCUUUCGCCUGUGACGAAGCGUGAGGGACGGUAAUGGGUAAAGAAGCACCGGCUAACUACGUG